UGGAUGCUUCUUUUGAGAUGCAGAGGUCACGUGGUAAUCUGCAAUGGCAUACGGAAAGGGGCUGUAUCUUUAGCCAACGGGAGGGUGUUAAUGCAAGGAUUUCAUGUUGUUUUUCCAGAAAAGAAUAUGCUCCCAAAUAAAUAACACGGGCUUCUGAGUAUGUUCCAGGGGGCUGGUGAUGAGCUAAGAGCCAGAAGAAGUGCACUGCGCUGAACUGUUUCCAGCGGAGCCCUGGAGGCUGAUAGCUGCAGAAUGAUUGGAGGAUGGCUCUUCCUUGCCAAACUAUGCCCAGACAACUGGGAGGAUAGGAACCCAAAACAUAUCUGUGACAAAUGACCACAUUGAGGAAGAAUGUAAAUCUUCAACUACGAUAAAGAAGAAGGAAAUAAUAUAAAUUUCCAAGCUUGUGUUAAAAAAACAAAAACCAGAAGAAAUAAUAAGGUAAGCCUGAAAGAGGAAAGAGACUCUGGGGAGGAAAAUUAGAAGGAAAGAAGUUAAAGACUUAAAAUCAGCCUUGAAGCUACAAGGCAGUCAGGACUGGGAAGGAAUCACAGAAAGCAGACUGUACUUCCUCUUCCAUGUGAUGAGGGGCCUGAAGAGUUUAAGAAUAGUAAAAACUUACGGCUGUGGAAGCACAAGUAAGAUAAUACACGUGUUAAUCCCAUGUUAUCCUAUCCCCCUCUUCCCUUAGACAGAAUGAAGUCUGUAUCUAAAUGCCUGCUCCUGUUUAACUUCAGGGUAAAGUAAAAUACCUCACCCUGAAACAUCUCUGGGCGCUGUAAGUAAAUCACAAUCCAGACAAGACAUACAUGCUUUUCAUCUGUUGAGAAGUAUUACAUCGUAGCUGAGGGUGGGAAGGAGGUGGCUGUCAGCCAUGAAGGAGUAAUUUAAGUCACCUGAACAUUAAAUAUACCUUACACAGCACCAAAUGCUGGGAAGCAUGAGGAGAAAGAAGGGUAAAGUAAGAUGCACUGCCAAUGAAGAUUUGAGAUCUGAGCAUGGCAGAAUCCAGGAAGGCUCCAAAGACUCAGAGAAUACUUUGCCUGGUAUCCUCUGAAACUGGAUUUUUUCCUCCGUACCUGAGGCUUGGUACACAUGGUCUGAUUUAAUCUAA